rnacentral:lncRNA from 1 species
AAGGAUUCACUAACCACUGUGAACAAAACAAUUAGCUGGGUUAUGGUGUUCUUAGUUGUAAAUGGUAUCAUGCCAAUCUCUUCAUACUUCAUGGAGCUUUUAUGUUUAUGCUCAAUGAAUAGCACUGUUUAUAACAGCUCAUAGAGUUGUUUGGCUUCAUAAAUUGUUCAUGUGUCUGCCAACCUGUUUGUCUAGGGAAAAAAUACUUUGAAAUAUAACUGGAAGCACAUUUUAGGCUAUUUGCAUUAACUAUCUUUAAGACAAGUUUAGAGUACUUUAAGAGACUGACAUUUAGAGUGCAUAAUCUUUCAUGUAAGAAGUUUCAUCUUUGUCUCCUGAGGCUUCUGUUUAUAUAUGAAGAAAACUGCAAUGUGACAUUUGCUAAUAAUGUCUACUAAAGGAAUGCUACAUCUUCAGGGUACUUCUUAGACUUAUAAAUUAUGGCAAUUAUUAAUGAAAUAAAUGAAUCCAUUUUAGAGCACAGAACUGUUUAUUUUUAGAGUUAACUCAUUGCAUUUGAUGUAUGUCAACUCUUCUACCCUAUAAAAAGGUCUGGAUUAAGAAAAAAAUGAUAUCUCUUUGUGAAUUGUAUCUCUAAUCUCCCUAAAUGGAAAAAAAUGCAGAUUUUAACUGAC